rnacentral:rRNA from 1 species
AUUGAACGCUGGCGGCAGGCCUAACACAUGCAAGUCGAGCGGGGUUUUCGGACCUAGCGGCGGACGGGUGAGUAAUGCGUAGGAAGCUGCCCGAUAGAGGGGGAUACCAGUUGGAAACGACUGUUAAUACCGCAUAAUGUCUACGGACCAAAGUGUGGGACCUUCGGGCCACAUGCUAUCGGAUGCGCCUACGUGGGAUUAGCUAGUUGGUGAGGUAAUGGCUCACCAAGGCGACGAUCUCUAGCGGGUUUGAGAGGAUGAUCAGCCACACUGGAACUGAGACACGGUCCAGACUCCUACGGGAGGCAGCAGUGGGGAAUAUUGGACAAUGGGCGCAAGCCUGAUUCAGCCAUGCCGCGUGUGUGAAGAAGGCCUUCGGGUUGUAAAGCACUUUCAGCGAGGAGGAAGGGGUGUGUGUUAAUAGUACACACCUUUGACGUUACUCGCAGAAGAAGCACCGGCUAACUCUGUGCCAGCCGCCGCCGUAAAAC